rnacentral:rRNA from 1 species
UACGAGUGCCCCAAGCGUUAUCCGGAAUUAUUGGGCGUAAAGGGUGUGUAGGUGGCGGUGUUAGUCUUCUGUCAAAUUCUUCGGCUCAACCGGGGUACGUGCAGAGGAAACGGCACUGCUCGAGGAUGCGAGGGGUCUGUGGAACUCAUGGAGUAGGGGUGAAAUCCGUUGAUAUCAUGGGGAACACCAAAGCGAAGGCAACAGACUGGCGCAUUCCUGACACUGAAACACGAA